rnacentral:tRNA from 1 species
GCGGUAAUAGUUUAGUGGUAGAAUGGGGGACUGUGGAUCCCUCGAUGCGGGUUCGAUUCCCGCUUACCGCC